GAUGAACGCUGGCGGCGUGCCUAAUACAUGCAAGUCGAGCGAACGGACGAGAAUCUUGCUUCUCUGAUGUUAGCGGCAGACGGGUGAGUAACACGUGUAUAACCUACCUAUAAGACUGGGAUAACUUCGGGAAACCGGAGCUAAUACCGUAUGAUAUUUUGAACCGCAUUGUUCAAAAGUGAAAGACGGUCUUGCUGUCGGUUGUGGAUGCAUCCGCGCUUCAUUAUCUAGUUGGUGAUGUAGUGGCUUACCAAGGCGACGGGGGGUAGCCGACCUGAGAGGGUGACCGCCCACACUGGGACUGAGGGAGGGCCCAGACUCCGACGGUCGGCAGCAGGGGGGAAGAUUGCAGAAGGGGCGGAAGCCUGAUGCAGAAACUCCGCGUGCGGGAAAACUGCCUUCGUGGGGAAAACCGCUUUCGCCAGUGACGAAGCGUGAGUGACGGUAAUGGAUAAAGAAGCACCGGCUAACUACGUG
rnacentral:rRNA from 1 species